rnacentral:misc_RNA from 1 species
CACAGGACAACGGGCGGUUGAGCAGCAGCCUGAAUCGUCCCCGCAGCAUCCUGCAACGAACGCGAGCUAGGACACGAUAGCCAUCAUCACAUCCAUUUUCCAUUACUCUAAGUCACGGCAAAGCCCUUUAUUUACGGUCGAGUGCAUUUUCGAACCCAAAGCCGUGAGAAAUUCAAAUAUCGCCCGAAAUUCGGUCGUGACCAUUUUCUCGGAAUAGUCCUGCUCCUGGCCGUUAGCGCGAAGCCACGCACCGCCCAAGGAGCCGCCACCUUUUUACCGGGGUGACUGUUCGUUCUCUGUUAGCUGUGUUUUGUUAAAAGUGUAUGUAGCUCGCCGACAAAGGGCCCGGCAAACAAAGGAAGCAGGCAAGGAGCGUCUGCAAAUUUCUGGCGUGUAGGCUGCCGCCAGGUUCGCCGCAACACCAAUACCGGAUCGAGCGCGCCAGCUGUGCUCGGAUUGCGAGGAAUAUACCAGAAGCAGAAGGACUCCCGGAAGGAACAGGAGCGAGUGUGUGUUGGUGUGUGUUAGCGCACGUCUCAGGCCGGUAGGCAGACGACCCGUGGAAUAAUGUAAUGCACUUCCUGCGUCCCGCUCCGUGACCGCACCUCCUCACAAGCGAAGCGAACCCUCUUGUGGCGCGCGCAGCCGGUCGGCGAGGACUACGACCGGAUCGGAAUUCCCCAGGGGCAAAGGAAGAGGAAGGCAGGGCAAGCAGGAAGGGAGAAGGUAUCCCAGGAGCAGACAGCACAUGAUUACGAACACACUAUAAACGCACCGGCGACGCUGCCGCGGAACAUGUGACGGCGAUUUCCUGUGCCAGCAGCCAGCAGCCAGCCAGAAGCUAUAAGCCGCCAUCUGAGCAUCCGCCACAGACCCAUGAGAGCCCUUCGCUGCACUCUAACAGUUCAAUUGCACCCGAGUCGUUACCGCCGCGACAGGCCAUACGCAAGAGCUACAGCCAGAACCCGAGCGGCUGCACCACCGCACCGGACCGCCGCCAGCAAUUGCAACUGCAUCCCAGCCGUGAAGAAGUCGAGGAGCUGCAGCAGCACCUCUUAGCCAUCGUCGCCGCAUUCACAUUCGCAUUCGCACUCGAGCCCGUGCGUGGACGCGAGCCGAGGAUAAGACAAUACAAUCGUACCGCCCGCCCGUAGCGGCCAACGGAUUUGGCGCUGAGACUUGCAAAUAGUGCGUGCGGCAUCCGUUCGCACCCAGUGCGUUUUGUUUGUGGACGCGUGGUGAGGAAGUGGCCGCCAGUGACGAAAAUAGUGCAUCGCUCGCGAGAUAAGCCCCACGCCCGGAACAGACGGAGCAGCGCUCGCGGCAGAUUCGCCUGUUUCGAGUACGUCGAUUCGGCGGUAAAUUUGAAUUUCGCGGGCCGCGCGAUCUUCGCGGAUUUCACGUGUGUGCAAGUGUGUGAGUGCGUGUGUAGUGUAUGCAACGCAAAGCCGAGUGCCGGCAUUUUUGCGCGCGGGGCACAGGGUUCCGGUGCACCCGAUUUGUUUAAGACAGGGAGUAACGACCCCCGGUGGAAGUUACACAACACCCCGGCCGGCCUAUAUACACGCUUGAGCCGGGCGAAAUUAUAUGAAAUCGCGCCCAGUGUGCGCGCCCUUUUUGCUUGCUUGUGUACUACAGUUGUGCGAUGAGAGUGUAGUAGCGCGAGUCCUGAAUGAUUUGAUCGUCUGCCGCAAGGACACCGACAGCGUGUACGUGAAACAGACGAGCAGACCGCAAGCGCUCGCGUAGUGAUAAAUAAGGAGGGUCAAGGAUUUGUAAGGAGGCGCUGAGGGGCGCACCCGAAUAGCCAAGUGCCCAUCAGACCAGUUCCCUGGUCCUGCCGUUCACGAUCGCUCACAAAUUGCCGCGUCUUUUCGCCAGACCGUCUGACGAAAUGUCGACCCUGUUCAACGAACUCGAACGUUCAGCCGGCACGCUCAGCUGUUCGGCAGCGGGCGCGACGGCCUUCUCUUCCCAGGUCGCCGCUCUCCAUCAGCACCAGCACAAUCCUCAUCAGACUUCGAACGGGUCAACAUCACCAACGAGUCAAAUACCCUCAUCCCUGUCGCAGUCGCCUCUUUCGUCAGCGUCUGUGCCCUCUCCCACGCAGCAGCAUCAGCCCGUAGCAUCGUCAACGACGAUCAUCUCCUCAACCAGCACCCCGCCACUGAUGUCGAUGACCGGCAACCCCAACGCCAGCAGUAACCUCUCCCCCAUGGGAUCGACCAUGAAUGGACUAGUGGAGGAUCAGCGCGCCCUCCAGUUGGCUUUCGAACUCUCCAUGGUCGGCUUGUCGGACACGAUUGCCAGCCACCAUCACCAACAACAGCAGCCUCUGCUUCAGCAAAUCCAACCGGACACCAACCAUCAGGCGCUCAGUCACCUCCAACAGGCACAACCCUAUGAUCUCGGCAACGUGGUGCUCACUAGCCAGCAAAUGCUCCAGCAACACCAACAGCAGCCUCCUGCCAAAGGACUUGGAGGCGCGAUCAACAACAACCUGCCCAACGGCCUUGGCACCGCCAAUUGCAACGGUGUCAACCUAUCCUCCGUUCUGGCGGUCACUAGUCAACAGCAGCAGCAGCAAUCGCAACCGCAACAACCCCAACAUUCGAUUAGCGCCUUCUCGUCAAUCCUGCCGCCCGGCAUCGAUGAGCGUUCCAAGAAAUCGCAAAACAUGACGGAAUGCGUGCCGGUACCGAGCUCGGAACAUGUCGCAGAAAUCGUUGGACGCCAAGGUUGCAAAAUUAAGGCGCUGCGAGCAAAAACGAAUACUUAUAUCAAAACACCUGUACGUGGCGAGGAACCAGUUUUUGUGGUGACAGGUCGAAAGGAAGACGUUGGUAAAGCGAAACGAGAAAUCUUAUCAGCUGCUGAGCAUUUCAGUUUGAUUCGAGCAUCUCGAAAACCAACGCUAUCCGGUUUAGGUGGUAAAGGAUCGCCGCCCGGUCCACCUACGAAUAUACCGGGGCAAGUGACAAUACAAGUUCGUGUGCCAUAUCGUGUCGUAGGAUUAGUUGUUGGCCCUAAAGGUGCUACCAUUAAACAUAUUCAACAGCAAACGCAUACAUACAUUGUGACACCAUCACGUGAUAAGGAGCCAAUUUUCGAGGUUACUGGAAUGCCUGAUAAUGUUCAGUCAGCCCGUCGUCAAAUUGAAGCGCACAUUGCAUUGCGAACGGGCAAUAUUGCAAUAGCGGCGGCAGCAGCAUCAGGAAAUACCACCAAUACCACUGGCAGUAUCACUGGUCUAGGAUCCUUACUAGGCGACGAGGCUAACUCAGAAUUUUUGGCGUCCCUCUACAAGAAUGGUUUUGGGUCGUUACUUGGCUACUUGGAGCCAACGUUAAAUGAUCAGCCCCUGCAACAGCCUAAUUCAAUCCACCAGCAGAGACCUAGUUUGGAGCACCACCAGACUGUUCCCCACCACCAUCCACAGCAAUAUGCUCCAGUACUGUCUUCCUCUACAGGCGGUAGCAGGUCCUGUUCGUCUAGUUCGUCAUCGACCUCUUCGAAAAGUGCAGCCCGCAGCCAACCUGAACUUAUCAGCAUAUGGAAAAGUUUAGGUGAUUCCAUUGAUGUCGACGAAGGACUAGGCGAAUCACCGAAUAUUUGGACCCUACCUGUAACCAGCGCAUUAGGCUCACGUUGCUCGCCAUCCACUUCGGUUAGCCCGACCGAUUCAUUAUUGGGCGGUACCAGUGGUUCGUCAAAUUCCUCCUCAAAUGGAGUUGGUGGAAAUGGUAAUGGGGUCGGAGGCAAUGGCAAUACCGGCAAUAAUACAACCGUUAGUAUGUUAGCGGCAAAUGCAGUGGCCGCGGCGGCAGCUUUAUGUCGUCGUGAAUGUUUGGUAUGUGGUGAUAAGGAGGUAACAGCUGCAUUAGUACCCUGCGGACACAAUAUGUUUUGCAUGGACUGUGCUACACGCGUUUGUUCAUCAGGCAAUACCGGAAAUGAUGGUAUUUGUCCAGUGUGCAGCCAAACUGUUAUACAAGCAAUACGCAUUAUACCAUAAUUUUUUUUUUUGCAUUUUUCGGAGGGACCUGGUUUAGGGUGUAUGCUACAAGGGUCGUAGUGUGUUUAGCAUAGAGCUGAUUGGAUACAAUAAAGGAGAUACAGUAUGGAUCAUCGACAACGUUAAACAUAUACUUCCAGAUGAAACGCUAAAAUGAAAAUAUUGAAAAUGAAAUGUAAUGAAAUCCCUCGCUCGUGAAUUAGGACAAGGAAACCAUGAUUGACAUGAACUUUAUAUAUAAGCUCUCUAUUUUCUUGUAAGCUUUUAUUUAAGGAUCAUAAAUUUUGUAAUGCACGUAUCCAGUGAAAUUUAUUCAGAAACUAAAGAAAGUAAAACACAACAAGUACUAAAUUACAAAAAAAAAAAAAGAAAGAGUCUAGGAAACUAAUGAUAGUGAAAAUAUAAAAGCAAAACGAAAAUUAUUUUAUUAAAUCGUAUGAAAAUGCAAUGGAAUGAAAUGUAUAUUUGUAUUCAAGCGACGGUAAUGAUAUUUAAUUUAUAAAUAUAUAUAUAUAUAUAUCUCGUGAAUAUAUUUAUAUAUCAUAGAAUUAGUAAAAGUCGUUAAAGAGGCGAUGAUGAGGACAUAAAGCGAUAUUCAAUGACCCUUUUGUUGUGUUCACAAUUUCACUGCCAUAUAUAUUUACAUUUGAUUUUACUGAAAAUAUAGUAGUGAAAUAUAUAUAUUGUGACUGUUUUUUGUUUCUUUUAUUAUCACUUUUCCCAACUUUGCUUUAUUAUUUUCGGUUAUAAAUCUAGAAAAUAACUACUCUAUGCUGAGUUUCACACCAUUAAGCUUGAAAUUCAAAUAAAAUAUGCAUUUAAAAUUUUCAAAAUGGAGAAAACAUAUAUCUAAUAUCUGCACUUUAUUACUCUUGUUUAAAAUUCUUAAAUUUUUUUUUAUCUGAUUUCUACUAAUACUAGAAAUUUUGAUUUUUGAAUGUAAAUAAGUUUGAUGUUGUCUCAAAAUACAACAAGAGGGUGUUUGUAUUUAAUCUUAGAUGAAGAAAGCCAACAAAGGACAAAGAAGAGAUCAAUAAAAUGAUAGUAAAAAUUUGAAAAAAUAUAGAUGAAGACUCAACAGUUUUUAUGGUUAAUUCUUUUAGUGAAAAACAAAAUGGAAUAAAAUAUGUUUUAUUAAGAUAGAAAAUAGGUUACGAUUAUAAUUAAAUUUAAGAAAGAUUAAAUUGACUGUUAUUUUUAAAUAUUUUUUAAUUACCUUUUUUCGUAUAUGCUAUAAAUAUAUAUUAUGUUCUAUAUAUCGUCGAACAUCAGAUUCAUAUAUAUAUAUAUAUAUAUAACUUAAUACACCGAUUAUAUGCUGUCUGUGUGUUAAGUUCUUCAUAUUUUAAUGCUUAUUCUUUUGUUUAGAUAGUUCUCCUAUUUCUUGUUUCGUAAUUCUAAAAGUUCUACUUUUAAAUAUAAACUAAGUAAAGUAUGUAAUUUCACGAUAUCAAUCAAAAAACAAGUAGGUAACAGUAAAUUAAAGCCUGCAUUCGAUGCAUUCAAAUAGUUUAAAAUUAUUUAUUUUCAAUUAUCGUUUGUAUUUUUCUCUUCAAACUAAAACUAUAAGCAAAUCUUAAAGAGACCCGUUAUGGGAACGUAAAAAUGAUACCAUACCGCAAAAUAAAAUAUGAAAAAUGAGUAUAUUUACACUUCAUAUACACCAACCAACUGCAGAAAAGUAACAAUUGAAAUCUUGAUAAUAUUUCUUUAGUGUCUUUUUUUUCAAUUUCAAAAUAUAACCAGAUUUUUUUUUAUAUAAUAAUAUUACGAUACUUAUUUCGUUUUGAGUUUGAGCAAUGAUAUUAUAUAUUCGUCAAGGAUUUAAUAUAUAAAAACAAGAAUAAUUUAAACUUUCUGUUAUAAUUUUAUCUUCUCUGUUUUAGCUUUUGAUGCUCGAUUUUAUAUUGCUUUUUAAUAUAUACAUAUAUAUAUAUGCAGGGUGUCCCGUUUAUGAUGGUAUAUAUUUUAAUGGUGGCUUGUACCACUCGUUUGAGAAAAAUCGGUCCAUGGAAUGGACCGUUACAGAGAGUGUAUAUCGUUUUUCGCAAAUAGUGUCAAAAAGUUUGAUCCUACUAAAAAAAUUCCGACUUUCCCACUCCAAUAAUUUAAUCCUACUUUUAUCAACUUUGCAAUUUAGUAAGUUUAAAGUACCGUUACAAUAAUGCAUAUUCAAAAUUUAGAUAAAAAAUCGAUUGUUAUAUUCUUGACCUUUGCAAUUCAUUUUUAAGAAAUGUUUUGUACUUUCCGAAAGUGGUAUCGAAUCUGCAACUAAAUUAUUGAGGCAGUGAAAAAUUGUAGUUUUUGAUUUUUUUUUGGGAAGGUCGAGAUUUUGUGACAUUAUUUACGAAAAACACUAUAACUGUGUAACAUUGAAAGAUAGAGUGCACAUUUCAUGGACCAAUUUUCCCCAAACAAGUGGUACAAUCCACCAUUAAAAUUUCGACCAUUCUAAACGGGACACCCUAUAUAUAUAUAUCUUUAUAAUAAAAAGAAUUGAAAUUGACUUUUAAUAAAUUAAUGAAAAAAUUCAUUGAAAUAAAAUUCGAAAAAAAAAGAAAAAAUACAGACAGUUAAAUUGUUUCCUUUAAUUUCUAAUAAUUUUUGUUUAUAUCAACAUAUUGUAUUUGUCUGAUUUUUGUUGUUUAGUCAAAUUUUAAAUUUAUGUUUCAUGUUUGUGUCUAUUUUAUGAAUUUUCAAAAUAUUUGUAUCUUUUUUUUUUUGUAUUUUUUGUGAGCAAAGGCAAAAGAGAAACGUACUGAAUUUUUUUUAAGAAAAGAAAAGUAAUAAAAAACAAUAAUAAAAAUUAAAAAUAAAGCGACGAGAAUAGAAUGGUUUUUGUUUUUAUUUUUUCUUAUCCUUAAAUUUUGCUCUUCAGAUUUUUGAUUUUAAAAUUACUUCUAAUAAUUAAUUCAAAGUGGAAAAACCAAAACCUGGCAUGAUAAAAGAAAACAAACAUUUACUGGCCAUCACCCUAACGUGAAUUCUUUGAAAUUCAAUGCGAUAAAAUAAAAUAGACCCUUCCAUCCUAACUAAAACCUACUCGAGAAAAUUUCAAAAGAAUAGCCAAUGAUAAAGCAAUACUAAAGAAAAAGUGCCUUCCACACUCCUGCUGUACCGUUUCAUUAUAAACUUUUUAAAGGAGGUGGGAGCGUUACUUAUUAUGAUUUAUCUGCAUAGGCUCAACUACAUAUGGCACAUUUUUCUUCAAUCUCGCGACAUGGCAAAUUGGCUCUUAACCUGCGGGACACACCAGCUCGAGUCAUGUCGGCCCGCCAAGGGCGUCUUUCCAUUGAAGCAUAUCAAUAGCUUUUUACUGGCCUCCCCUGAGUUUUCCUAUCUUCUUUUUUGGCUUUUCAUUUGAUCGGCUUCCUCACCUUUUAGGUAUUUGCUUAUUGGCCUUUCAUUGUAUAGGGCCUGCCGAAGCGUCGUUCCUUCUUUCGUAAAAGCAAGAAUGUAGAUAUUUGGACUCCUUCUGGUUCAUUCAUUUAAAGCUGCCGUUCAUUUUUAUCUCUUUUAGCGCGAUGCAAAGUCAACUGUAACACAUCGUUCAAUAAGUCCCGGGACUAACUAUGAAAACAACAUUUUAUCGGCAAAAU